GCCAGUGUGGUGUAGAGGUUUGAAUGUUGGAUGAGGAUUCCAAGAAAUCAGGGUUCAAACCCCUGCUCAGUCA